rnacentral:rRNA from 1 species
GACGAACGCUGGCGGGAUGCCUAACACAUGCAAGUCGAACGAGUGUCGAAGGGGUGAGUAUCGCGUUGUAACCUGCCUCAUUGCGGGGGGUAAUUAUUGGAAAGAUAGGCUAUACCGCCAUACCUAUGGAUGGACCUGCUUUGCAUUAGCUAGUUGGGGGGGUAAAGGCUCACCAAGGCCACGAUACAUAGCCGGACUGAGAGGGUGAUCAGCCACACUGGGACUGAGACACGGUCCAGACUCCUACGGGAGGCAGCAGUGGGGAAUUUUGGACAAUGGGCGCAAGCCUGAUGCAGCCAUGCCGCGUGUAUGAAGAAGGCCUUCGGGUUGUAAAGUACUUUCAGCGGGGAAGCGUUACUCGCAGAAGAAGCACCGGCUAACUCCGUGCCAGCAGCCGCGGUAAUUC